UGCAGCGUGACUCGUGCUUGCUCUUGCCCAUUAGGUGACCUGGUGCUUGUGGUGGGGAUACACCUGGGGCCAGUCGCUGCGCCAUGUGGUGAAGUGUUUUGAAAACGUGUUACGGGGAAAAAUUACGUCUGGCCGAACAAUUGCAGUAACCAGAUUGGAGCAAUCACUCAAUGCAUGACAGGAAGAAGAAACUGGCGAUAGCAGGUGAAAAAGUCUGAGCAGUUUUGCCUGAUGCAACAGAUGAGGUCUGCAGAAGUCGUGUUAUGUUGUACAGAAAUGAAAACAGUAAGUGAGAAAGGUGGCGCAGGGACGAGUGGCGUUUAGCAACCUCUUGUGUUGUGGUUCCCCCAUAUGAGGUUUCUAAGGAACCGCGUUGUACCUAGAAGAACUGUGAGAGACAUCCCAAGCUGUAUUGUGUCUCUUGAACGAAUUCCAUCUUUUAUAAUAGACAGCAGCUUGUAAGAAUAAGCCGUCAGUUCUCACGAGUUCCGAAAUUAUUGGGGAUCUUUGGGCCUCAAUUGAUAUUUGGGCCACAAUUCCUUUAGCAACAGGGAAUAUACACUGAUAAGCCAAAACAUUACGACCACUGUCCACAGUGACGUUGGGUGCCACCUAGUGGCGUUGCGGGCAAGUGACGCGUAACAACAGUAUGUAAGGGGAGCAAACACUGAUGGGGGAACACCCUAACCAAGAUGUGGGCUACAAUUGUGGAAAUCCAUUGAGAUAAGCGACUUUGACAAAGGGCAGAUUAUUAUUAAGCAGAGCCUGUGGACGAGUCUCUCACUAACGGUGAAGCUGGUCGAAUAUUCACAUGCUACUGUCGUGAGCAUGUACAAAAAGAGGUAGGACAGUGAAACUACCACUAGACACUAAAUGGUUGGACGUCCGUGACUCUUUGGAGAACAUGGGGUUCGGAGGCUUGUCUACUCAAUGAAGUAGGAUGGAUGGUGAUAUCUGGCAUCUCUGCCAAAAUAGCACAAUGCUGGUCAUUGCACAAGUGUCUCGGAGCAAAUCCUUUAUUGUACAUUGUUGAACAUGGAGCUCUGCAGCAGACCACCGCUAAGUCUUCACAUGUUGACCCAACUACAUCAUCAGUUGCGACUGCAGUGGGUACUGACCAUCUGGGCUCGACCGUCAAACAUUGGAAACGUGUCGCUCUUCGGGUGAAUCGCAUUUUUGCUACACUAGGUCGAUGGUCGGCUCCACAAACGCCGUCAUCAAGAUGAACGGCGGCAGAAACGUGCAGCGCGCCAUGGACGUAGGCUGGUGGUAACAGUAUUAUGCUAUGGGACGUGUGGUAGUAAUCGAAGACACGCUGGCAGCUGUGACCACUUGCAUCCCUUCAUGCUUGGUGUCUUCCCCGACGGCAGUGUCAUCUUUCAUCUUUUAGCAGUAUAAUUGCCCAUGUCUCGGAGCCAUAUCCAUGGUACAGUGGUUUGAGGAGCAUUAUAAUGUACUCACGUUGAUGUGUCAGCGGCCAAAUGCACCCGAUGUAAAUCUUACGGAAUCCAUCUUGGUUGCUAUCGGGUGCCAGCGGCUCGUUAUUUACGCAUAUUACUUGACCUGUGCGUAGACAUUUAAUGCAACACACCUCCACAAACCUAUCAACAAACUGUCGGAUCCCUGAUAUGCAGAAUCAGUGAUGCACAUCGUUCCAAAUAUGACAAAGAAGAUGUUAAAUAGUUGGUUAUAAUGUUUGUUUCAUCAGCAUAAUAUGGUCCUGGCUUCGUUCCUUCUUCCCAGCCAGAAUCGAACCCAACAACGUCUGGCAUGUCGUCGUCGUUCUGACCAAAUCCUAACAGUAACAGACAGUACCAAGUUCAUAGCUCCAAAAACAGCUGCAUCCGCCAAGAGCAAAAUUUUGUAUAAAUGUAAAUUUACAUAAACGCAUGCAUGUGUGACCAAAUGUCAUAAUAUAAAACGAACAGUUGAGUCCCUAACUCUGAACAGUAAUAAAAUUAAUUCUGUGAUACC